rnacentral:sRNA from 2 species
GUAGAUGCUCAUUCACCUUUUUAUGAUAGUCGAUUUAAGGAUCGCUUCAUAAGCCUAUCGAAUGAUGCAGAGCCGAGUAAUGGUGUCUAUCGUCUAGCCUUAUGAUGACAUUGUCAUCAAACAUUAGACAUAACGUUGAGUGAGACACCGCCAUGUUGUCCUUUGACCUGAUUUUUUUCUCACACUUGCCUAAAUAGGCAAGUGUUUUUUU